AUGAGACUUCGUUAGGUGAGGCUCCUGUAUGGAGAUACGCUGCUGCCCAAAAAUGUCCAAAGACGCCAAUGGGUCAACAGAAAUCAUCGACAUAAGGUGAUUUUUAAUGCAGCUGGAUUUGAUCCUAUGCCAUACAGUGCUAAAGCUCUACGAUUGAAGGAGCAA
rnacentral:sRNA from 1 species